UCUCCUACUGCCUCAUGGUAGGGUUUCCAGGCGAUCCAUAACGGCCUCCGUUUGUUCUAUAUAGGGUAGCCAAGUGAAUCCGAUCAAUUGACCUCGAGACUUCGUUUUCUGAGGAACGCUAGAGGUUCCCUGUCGGCCGAGAUGCCCACGUACAAGAUCAGGGGGGUCGAUGUGGACUUUCCCUUCGACGCUUACGAUUGCCAGAUUGUUUACAUGGAGAAGGUCAUCCGAUCUUUGCAGGAGGGAUGCAAUGCUUUGUUGGAAAGCCCUACAGGAACUGGAAAAACAUUAUGCCUUUUGUGUGCCACACUGGCUUGGAGGAAGACUUUUGGUGAUUUUCUGACUAGUGCAAAUGAAGAAAGGAGCAACUUCUCUUUGAGUCACUCCUCUGGUAGUCAAUCAGCGGAGAAUGGGCAAACUAAUUACCCUGCCAUCAUAUAUACUUCAAGGACUCACAGCCAGCUUAAGCAAGUAAUACGAGAACUUAAAACAAGCAAUUACAGGCCAAAGAUGGCAGUUUUAGGGUCUCGUGAACAGAUGUGCAUCCAUGAUGAGGUGCGUCUGCUACGAGGUAGAGCGCAAAACAAUGCUUGCCAUUAUCUUUGCAAAAAGCGGUUAUGCCCUCAUCAACCUGGAGUUUCUGAGUACAUGAAGAAACAUCAUGAACUUGGAAAUGAGCCUUUUGACAUCGAAGACUUGGUUAAUACUGGGAGAACCAUGGGGCUAUGCCCAUAUUACAUAUCUAGAGAGCUUCACAAGGUUGUUGAUAUUCUGUUUGCCCCUUACAACUAUCUUAUUGAUCCUGGAAACCGGCGAUCUUUAUCAGGCAUUCAGUGGAACAAUGCAGUUCUUAUAUUUGAUGAAGCACAUAACCUGGAGAGUAUAUGUGCUGAUGCAGCUUCAUUCGACUUGCCUUCUGGUUACCUCACUGCUUGCAUUUCUGAAGCAAAACAAUGUGUUGACUUGUGUAUUAAAAGGAGGGUAAUUGAAAAAUCAGCUGAUAAAGAGUUUGACCCAGAAAAUUAUGCUAUUCUCAGAGCUCUUCUACUGAAGCUUGAAACACGUAUUGCUGAGGUGGCUAUUGAGUCCAGAGAAUUGGGUUUCACUCGACCUGGAGACUACAUUUAUGAGUUUCUUUCUGAUCUGAACAUCACAUAUGAGACAGCAAAUAUGCUUAUUGAUACGAUUGACAAUGCUGCUCUGCUUCUUGAGGAGGGGAAUACGUCUGGGGCCGGAACAGGAAUCAAAAUGAAGGGGGCAGUCUGCAGGUUAGAGAGCAUCAGGAAUAUGCUUAAUAUUAUCUUCCGAGAUGGUGGGAAGGAUCAUGCAAAAUUUUAUCGUUUUCAUGUGCAGGAAUCUCAACUAAGCAUUACAGAUUCUCUAAAAGGAAAGGUGUCAAGAACACUUAGUUGGUGGUGUUUUAACCCAGGGCUUGCCAUGCAACAGUUUGAAAGGUUGGGUGUAUGCUCUAUCAUACUGACAUCUGGCACUUUGUCUCCUCUAGACUCGUUUGCCUUGGAGCUGAACUUAGAAUUUCCAGUCAGGUUGGAGAAUCCCCAUGUUAUAACUCCUAAUCAAGUGUGGGUUGGAGUUGUGCCAAGUGGUCCAUCUAGUCAACCAUUUAAUUCUUCAUACAAAAAUCGUGAUUCUCUAGAAUAUAAGCAAGAACUUGGUAAUUCUAUAGUUAAUUUUGCUCGCAUAGUGCCGGAUGGCUUACUUGUAUUCUUCCCUUCAUAUUAUAUGAUGGAUCAGUGCAUUGAAUGCUGGAAAGACAUGGGUCACGCAAGCUCAAGCGAUUUUAGCACAAUCUGGGAAAGAAUUUCCAAAUACAAACAACCUAUUAUAGAGCCCAAACAAUCAUCACUUUUUCCACGUGCAAUUGAGGACUUUGAGUCAAAAAUACGUGAUAAUACCACUUCAGGGGCCAUAUUUUUUGCAGUUUGUCGUGGCAAAGUUAGUGAAGGUCUUGAUUUUGCUGACCGGGCUGGGAGAGCUGUGGUAGUUACUGGCCUGCCUUUUUCUACAAAGACUGAUCCCAAGGUUCGUCUCAAGCGUGAUUACUUGGAUCACUAUGCUACAUCGCAAAAGAAACAAUCUAAGGUUCUCACUGGCGAGGAGUGGUAUGUCCAGCAAGCUGCAAGGGCUGUGAAUCAGGCUGUUGGCCGUGUCAUUAGACAUUGUCAUGAUUAUGGAGCAAUUGUUUUCUGCGAUGAAAGGUUUGCUCAACAAAAUUGGCAGUGUCAAAUGUCAUACUGGCUCCGUCCUCAUAUCAAGUGCUAUCCCAAGUUUGGGGAUGUAGUUUUCACAUUGACUAGAUUCUUUCGAGACAAAGACUUUUGCGACUUGAAACCAAAACUAGCUAAAAGCUGCACUAAGGAGCAAAUGUUCGUGGCAGAGAAAUCUUUGAUGCCUCUGGAGAAGACCUUAUCAUUGAAGUCUAUCACCUCCUUGGCGCCUAAUACUGAACAUUGCUCCAGAAAGUCACUGUCAUCUGUGCUCUCAACUAACACAAGUAGUGGUUUUGAUCAUUUGGGGCAAAUAGUUCCCGCCAACCGUUCAUCGGUUUCUAAUGAACUUGGGUUCUGCUCGACCUUGCAACGUUCAGUAAAUCACUUCUGCCAUAAAAAGAGAUUACCAUUCAAGGAAGGAAUAUCUAAAAAUAUUCAGUAUCAGGAUACUGUAGUGAUUGAUUUGGCAAAUGAUACAUCAUCGAGUGAACAAGCAUGUGAGGUUGCAUUUGCAGCUACUUCUGCAAAAAGGCCUAAAACAUUGGAACCGGUUGAUAAUGUUGAAUGUCAAAAAGAUACAGAUUCAAAGUGGCCUGCAGAUUUUGGGAGUUCUACCAGUGUUAGGCUGACGCAACAUGUUCACACUGUGAAAGAAACUUUUCAGCAACCAACAUCACAUAAGGAGAAGCAUAAUACCUCUAUACCUUGUACUGAUAAAACUAGUGGUUCUGCUUUUCUAAUGCAGGUUCAAGAAAAGCUUACUGUUGCAGAAUAUAAGGAGUUUGUGGGCUUCAUGAAGGCAUUAAAAUCCAAAACAAUGAAAAUUACACCUUUGCUGGAGUCCAUUGCAAAGUUAUUUUCAAGUCCUGGGAGAUUUUCUCUUCUCGAGAGGUUCAAGGAUUUUGUUCCUGCAAAAUAUCAUCCCAUUUAUGAGCAGCUUCUUAGAGUUCAUGGCACGAACAAUGAUGUAUGAAUUGAAUCCAGUGCUUUAAUACAACAAGCUUCUGGAACUAUCCACAUAUCCGCAUUAUUGUACAUGUGCAACUUCAAAUUGUGUAUUCUAUCCUAUUUAAGCACCCUUGCUGAAUCAUUAUGGCUAGAUGCAGAAUAUUUAUUGUCUCAAAGCUUUUUUUGAUGAAUCAAGUGUCUCUUUAUUAUGCAAUCGGUGCUCAUUCAAGAGUGAAACAUGAGCCAAAUAUUAGCAUCUAGUGAGAGGUUCACACUUCAUCGGGGAUCUUUUGCAGCUAAUAUUAUGUGCCACGAGGAAGUCCGUGGGUCUUGAGUUAUCGACAAACCUGAUCCUUCUAUUCAUCGAAUGUGUCAGUGUUUAUUUUCUUUAAACAUUGUCCCCGGGAGGAGUCACUCUUUGUUGUACAGCGGAUGAGCAGCAUAAUUAAAUCUAGCUGAUGAUGGGCUUUACUAUACUGUAAGCCAGACAAUUGGUCUAUCUGCCUGUUCUGUUCAAACGUGAGAAGGCAGUUUGGGUUAGACGAGACAACGGUUGACUAGGCCUAAAGUAGAGGAUAUCGAUAAGCUGUGCUAAAUUAUCUGUGAGAGUUGCAAUGCCACUUCAUAUGAGUGUAAAUCUAGAGACACCCGUGGAUCUUGGUGAUAAUUCCAAGCCUAUCGGUUCUGCAGAUUGUUCUUAGAGAUCCGGAAGUGGUGUAUGGGUUUCUUCAUUGGAAAACUUUGUUACUCGCAUCA